ACCGGAGGGCAGCCGAGAUGCUCAGAAAGCCACUCCAUCACCCUCAGCUUGCCAGGAGGCGUGGGUGGGAGAGGGCAGGUGUUUCUAUAACUGGGUGAAUUGUUCUUGCGAUCAGCACAUGUCUGAGAGGAAGGCCCAGCAUCUGCUGCACCCAGAUCACCUGUCCCGAUCACCUGCCAGGUCUUCUGCUAACAAGUGUGGUCUGCAACACCAGCUCCCUACCAGAACCACUGGGACGAAAACCACCCUGGGAGAGUCAGCUCAGGACAGAGCGCAGACCCCAUCUGUGUGCAUCAGGGUUUGCCUUCUCUUGGAAAUCCCCGGAGGGGCUGGACCUCAUCUGUUACCGCGCAUUGCAAAGCUGGGAGAUCAUUUCUGAGUGUGACUUUAUAAUUUCCUGUUACUUGUCUUACCCCAUCCAAG
rnacentral:lncRNA from 1 species